rnacentral:hammerhead_ribozyme from 1 species
AUCCAGCUGACGAAUCGGAAAUAGGACAAAACGCGCGUCUUGGAU